AAUAAGUGUAGUUUUGCGUUGUUUACGUUAAACGUUUGACCGUUCGUCUUAUUUGAAUUUUUUUUAUGAUUAGUAUUUUUAUUGUUCUAAAAUAGUAUUUUAUGUGUGACUAGUUUUUAAAUUUAUUUAUAAAUUUUUCAAAUAAGACGGACAGUUAAAGUUGGACGCGGAAAACCAUGGCUGCACUUAUA
rfam:Oryza sativa Japonica Group DNA, chromosome 3, cultivar: Nipponbare, complete sequence.